GCUUAGGUCUGGGGCAUUAGUGCUAUUAGGACAUUCAAGUGUUUUAGAAACCUUUUUAGGAGAGAGAUUGUAAGUGGGAGGGCCAGGAAAGAAGCCAAGCAGGAUGAGCUUGCUUUUGAAUCCAUCUUUAGCAGGUCAGAGAGCAGCUCUCCUCGACGGGAGAGAAAGAAAAGCUCAAAGAAGAAGAAGCACAGGUCAGAAUCUGAGUCCAAGAAACGUAAGCAUAGGUCUCCCACUCCAAAGAGCAAACGUAAAUCUAAGGACAAAAAGCGAAAGCGGUCUCGAAGUACAACACCAGCCCCCAAGAGCCGCCGGGCCCACCGUUCAACUUCUGCUGACUCUGCUUCCUCCUCCGAUACUUCCCGCAGUCGGUAAGGGGUAGUCCAGGAGGAAGGGAGGGAGAGGGAAUGAUGGGUUAAUUAAUUUAAUAUUUAUUGAGCG
rnacentral:lncRNA from 10 species